UUUCAGCGGCUUCGGUUUGCUCGUGCUUCACAAAGAUCACGCUGUUUUCAAAGAAACUUGACUUUUAGCCCUUGCCAACCUAGGUGUUCGCCCAUCGAUAUUUGUUUGACGACCAGAGCUUCGGCGCCUUUUCGGGUGCACACGACGAUCUUUCCUUCAAAUUCGACCCAAGACCGCACUGCUUGCAGUGCAAAUACAAUUUGCCAACGGAAGGAAAUCGUU
rnacentral:sRNA from 1 species